CAGUUUAGUGCUUCACAACGUGUAAGUCGCGGGAGUUUCCCAUCAAAAUACUUUUUAUAAUUUUAGCAUUUUGAUGGCUACCUCCCAAGGUUUAGGCACGUACUAACUUCCGGGUUCA
rnacentral:precursor_RNA from 10 species